rnacentral:rRNA from 1 species
UCUGUCAACUCUAACCUAACUUACACAUGCAAGUCUCCGCACCCCCGUGAAGAUGCCCUAUAGUUCCCCGCUCGGGAACAAGGAGCCGGUAUCAGGCACAAUCUAGCCCAAGACACCUUGCUUAGCCACGCCCUCAAGGGAACUCAGCAGUGACAAACAUUAAGCCAUGAGUGAAAACUUGACUUAGUUAGGGUUAGGGCCGGUAAAACUCGUGCCAGCCACCGCGGUUAUACGAGAGGCCCAAGCUGACAGACAUCGGCGUAAAGAGUGGUUAAGAGAGACACAACUAAACUAGAGCCGAAUGCUUUCAAGGCUGUUUUACGCACCCGAAAGCAAGAAGAACAACGACGAAAGUGGCCCUAUUCAAUUCCCAACCCACGAAAGCUAAGGCACAAACUGGGAUUAGAUACCCCACUAUGCCUAGCCCUAAACAUUGAUGGUCCCUUUAAGCCAUCCGCCAGGGGACUACGAGCAUUAGCUUAAAACCCAAAGGACUUGGCGGUGCUUUAGAUCCACCUAGAGGAGCCUGUUCUAGAACCGAUAACCCCCGUUCAACCUCACCUUUCCUUGUUCAACCCGCCUAUAUACCGCCGUCGUCAGCUUAUCCUGUGAAGGCUUCUUAAUGAGCAAAAUUGGCAAAGCCUAGUACGUCAGGUCGAGGUGUAGCGUACGGAAAGGGAAGCAAUGGGCUACAUUACCUGCCCAGGUAAUCACGAACGAUAUAUUGAAAAAUACAUCUGAAGGAGGAUUUAGUAGUAAGAGAAGA